rnacentral:lncRNA from 1 species
GGAGUACGGAGUGGACAGCGGCGAUGGAGCCACGGAGAUAACCGGAGUCGAGGGUCAUUGCUAUGUGGACUAAAGAAGGGUCACAUGAUGAAGGGAAUAAGGUUUUGGAUUUUUGUUUCGGACAACCUGCUCCGUUUCGAUACUCGGGUGCCUCAGAGAAAGCACCCGAGAAACGAAACGGAGUAGGUGAGUGCUCUGCGGUGUUGGUUGUUGGGAAAGAACGGAUUCCAAGGCAGAAUGGUUGGAAGAUUGAACAAAGAAGAAUGAGAGAUGAAACAAC